UACGUAGGGAGCAAGCGUUGUCCGGAAUCAUUGGGCGUAAAGAGCGCGUAGGUGGCUUUAUAAGUCCGUUGUGAAAGUCAAAGGCUCAACCUUUGAAAGCCGAUGGAUACUGUGAAGCUAGAGUACGGAAGAGGCAAGUGGAAUUCCUGGUGUAGCGGUGGAAUGCGCAGAUAUCAGGAGGAACACCUAUAGCGAAGGCAGCUUGCUGGGACGUAACUGACGCUAAGGCGCGAAAGCGUGGGGAGCGAACAGG
rnacentral:rRNA from 1 species